CCUACGGGGGGCAGCAGUGAGGAAUAUUGGUCAAUGGACGAGAGUCUGAACCAGCCAAGUAGCGUGAAGGAUGACUGCCCUAUGGGUUGUAAACUUCUUUUAUAUGGGAAUAAAAUGUUCCACGUGUGGGAUUUUGUAUGUACCAUAUGAAUAAGGAUCGGCUAACUCCGUGCCAGCAGCCGCGGUAAUACGGAGGAUCCGAGCGUUAUCCGGAUUUAUUGGGUUUAAAGGGAGCGUAGGUGGAUUGUUAAGUCAGUUGUGAAAGUUUGCGGCUCAACCGUAAAAUUGCAGUUGAAAAUGGCAGUCUGGAGUACAGUAGAGGUGGGCGGAAGUCGUGGUGUAGCGGUGAAAUGCUUAGAUAUCACGAAGAACUCCGAUUGCGAAGGCAGCUCACUGGACUGCAACUGACACUGAGGCUCGAAAGUGUGGGUAUCAAACAGGAUUAGAUACCCGGGUAGUC
rnacentral:rRNA from 1 species